UUCAGACCAUAUUUGUUUGAUCCAAAUCCCUAACCCCAAAGUCCCACACGCACGGUCAGGGGGGAAGAAAAGGGAAGGGGAUAAGGAGAGCCUUAAUCGGCCCCUAUAAUAUAAUUCUACACCGGCGCGGCGCUGCUGGAUACUUCUGAUCAAUAGAACUGGGUGAGGAGUCAGCCAAAAAGGUUUUUGAAUCAGAGACAUGGAUGGAGGAGGAGAAAUAGAGAAUAUAAAGAGGUGGAUAGUGUUCUACCCAAUUUACAUAAACUCGAAGAAAACGGUGGCGGAAGGGAGGCGGAUAAGCCUCGCCAACGCAUGCGAAAAUCCCACUUUCACCGAGAUCGCCGACUGCUGCGCUCAUCUCAAGCUCCCUAAUGCUAUUGAGCUAGAUAAGGCUUAUCCGCGCGACUUCAUGCAAAGAGGGAGAGUGAGGGUAUUGCUGAAAAGGGAGGAU